rnacentral:rRNA from 1 species
GACGUAGGUGGCAAGCGUUGUCCGGAUUUAUUGGGUUUAAAGGGUGCGUAGGCGGCCCUGUAAGUCAGUGCUGAAAUAUCCCGGCUUAACCGGGAGGGUGGCAUUGAUACUGCGGGGCUAGAGUACAGAUGAGGUAGGCGGAAUUGACGGUGUAGCGGUGAAAUGCUUAGAUAUCGUCAAGAACACCUAUAGCGAAGGCAGCUUACUAGGCUGUAACUGACGCUGAGGCACGAAAGUGUGGGGAUCAAACAGG